UCCGUUGUCAUGAUACCCUUGUCAUACGUGA
rnacentral:sRNA from 1 species